rnacentral:rRNA from 1 species
AACGAACGCUGGCGGCAUGCCUAACACAUGCAAGUCGAACGAUUAUGGAACUAGCUUGCUAGUGCCCAGAUAGUGGCAGACGGGUGAGUAACGCGUGGGAAUCUACCUAGUAGUACGGAAUAGCCGUUGGAAACGACGAAUAAUACCGUAUAUUCCCUGAGGGGGAAAGAUUUAUCGCUACUAGAUGAGCCCGCGUUAGAUUAGCUAGUUGGUAGGGUAAUGGCCUACCAAGGCAAUGAUCUAUAGCUGGUCUGAGAGGACGAUCAGCCACACUGGAACUGAGAUAACGGUCCAGACUCCUACGGGAGGCAGCAGUGGGGAAUAUUGGACAAUGGGCGAAAGCCUGAUCCAGCAAUGCCGCGUGAGUGAAGAAGGCCUUA